CCGCGCCACUUUCAUUCUCAAUUAUCGUGAAGCAUGUGACAGCGUGGCGAAAAUGAUAUCGUCAUUGAAAGUACAGUUUUUGACGUGCCUAGAUAGCCGAGCGGUCAAUAUUUGUGUUAUUCCAUAAUGGUUAUUGUAAAAUAGCAUCAGCUAGAACGAUAAUGGAGGCCAGUACUGGAGAAAUUACCCCGCCGUCAUUAGCAUCACCCACCCUCUAUUUCACUCAGAUAGAAGUCAAUUCACUUAAAGAAUUCCUCUAUACUGUUACCACAGAAGAACUUCGACAGCUUCUGAAGAUGUUCAAAACCAGAUGUUUAAUUUCCGAAGAGAUGUAUACUCGUCUAGAUCAAAUUCAUCGUCAAAGUGGAGAUAUGGACGAAAUGUUUACCUUGCUCAUAACACACCUGUCUCAGAGAUGUACUUCAGGUUUACCGUACGUUUUGUUUGUAUUGUACCAUUCUGGUUACCAGAACCUGGCUUAUACACUUAACACCAUAUAUCAAAAUAUCCUGGAAAUGUUCAAAAGAAAACCACCUCAAGUGCAAAGAUUAGAUACACGGAACAGAAAAAAAAUUCAAAUUUAUUUCAAAUCUAUGAAGACAAAUCUUCAAAACAUGAUAUUCCUUGAUCCCGUUGAUUAUUUCAUGAAACGAUCGAUAGAAUUUAGACAAAAGAUAUACACUACUGUGCCUUCCUCAGAAGACACAAUUCUUCAAGAAUUUUGUGAUAAAUAUGUUGUAGCCUUAGCGUUCACUAUUGAUACAAUGGCAAAUAAAACUAACCAUAUUGAUCCUAACCACGAACUCUUCCAGGAUAUGGAGUCCAUUAUCUCUUUAACGUCAUGCCCAGACCUGUCUCGCUGUAUGUUGUAUGACAGAAGAGCUGUGGUUUUGUCGUUUGCGAACAAAAAAAAGGAGAGGGAGAAGGGCUCUUAAGAGAAGGUCUUAUUUGCGCACAGAGAGUUUCCAGUUGUUUAGAGAUCGUUGACCUACACUAUAAAAGUGUUCUCUUUCUCAGGGCAUGGUUUGAACGAUUUCCUCAAAUUAUACUGAAUCGUAUUUAUGGACACAUGCAAAGUGCAAUGCAAAUUUUAGAAAAUGAGCCAGAUGACUUUAGAAGGUUUUGGACGCAGAGGUUUAUCUUCCGUUUCCUCUGUUGUUUCUUAGGUUUGGGGAUGCGUUGUCGUUUUAUUGAAAAGUUUAUCUGCCCUUUCUACAUACUACAAGAGGCCGAGAGAUUACUUAGCAAGUAUGAUUCGCCGGAUGCUGAGUGUCGUCUGCAGAUGUAUUUUGCCAUUGCCAAAUCCCGAUUGUGGAAUUUGAAAGGUGACAAUAAUGCAGCCUUGGAAUAUAUUUCUCAGGCUAAAGAGAUCGCUUGCAGAGGCAACUUCAGUGAAGUUAACACUAUUUCAGCUGCGGAGCAGGUUCUACUCCUGCCUGACGUACAACCCUUAUUUGUUGAAACGGAGAGCAACAAUAAUUUCACAGACAUCAUUGUCGCAGAACCAAUCCAUCUUCCUCCAUUUUAUCAUCUUCCAUCAUCGUCAAACUUCAGCGAUCAUUUGUUAACGUUGACCUCUCGAUCAGUCUCUGAAGUAUCUAUUUCAGUGCAAGGUUCCAUCAAAGAGGAAGAAAUUGGAAAUGAAGUCCACAUGCCAUCUGACGAAUCCAUACCCACUGAAGAAGCUGCAAUAUCUCACAAUUUUUCUCGGGAGGUUGUUCAAUUGAGGUCUGCCAAAAUAAAUCGUGAAACGAUAUGAACUUUGACAUGCAAUUUGCGGAUCGCCGAUUCUCAAAUAAACCCGGCCAAGGUGACGACGGUAACUAAGAAGUAUUAUGCCAGAUAUUCGAUGUAAACAAUAUGACGACCGUAUUGUCUUUGAAGGACAUACCAGAUGAUUUUUCUGAUACGUUCUUUAACUAUACACCUUCCUUGCCUUAAAAGAAAAGGGCCACAAGUUUUGUUAAAGACUCAUAUGUUAAAUCCAUGAAUUUAUAUUCAAUUGGAGAUGAAAAUAUUCAGAUUGAAGAGCAUGUAUUCCGAAGCCUGCAUAAGACUGAAGAACCACGCAAAGUGAACUUAGACAUGAACGUUCCAGUUCAGAAAUUUGACGAUGCUCACUGCAGCUGCAAGGCGGGUUUGAUGUAUUUUAAUUUUGUGACCCGUUUAAAACAGGUUUAUCCAAGAUCAGAUCCAAGUCUUCUCCGCUGCAACUUUUGUUCUUGGGAUGCAAUGUCAUGCAUUUGUUGUUGAUUAACAAAGUUAGCCUGUAACAGUUUUUUCACUCUUCUGUCAAUGCUCUGUUUUCGCCAACAAUGGACAAAAGGUUGAGUUGAGAGGCACCGGCGCCACCGGUACAACCAAUUACAGAGUCUUGUUGAGCAAAUAGUUGUGCAGACACUGCAUUUUCGGAGGCCCUACCUGUACAUGACCUUGAAAAUAUUCAACAUCUAAAACAAGAGUGGAGUGACCUUAACAUAAAAGUCAACACGAGGACAGAGUGUAUAUCAAAAGUGGCAUAAGGAACGAAGAAAGAUAACUGCCUCUCACUUUAAACUUAUAAUGAAAAGGAAAAAGGAUGUCAAUGAAAGGUUUUGAGAAAAAAUAUUCAUCUUAUGUUCUACAUCUUAUGGAAAAGGUAACGAAAUUGUUGCAAAGCAAAUGUACCUAAAAGGACAGGAAAUCACCUCCAUGAUGUAGGUUUCAUUGUUAUUCCUGAUUUGUCGUUUUUAGGUGCAACACCUGAUGGCAUUAUGUGUGAAAACUAUUAUACAGGUAUAAUUGAAAUCAAAUGUCCAUAUUCUGUUAGAGACCCUCUGCGAUGUUUGUGUAGAAUGCAUUUACCCCAAAAAACACAUCUACUAUUAAUACCUUAAUCCAGAAAUCAUCUUUGUUUUAUGUUGAACAUUUUAAACCAUUAGUGUAUGACUCAAUAACUACUGAAAUGACGUAAUUUAUCAUGGAUGCUGUGGAGUCAUUUGAAUUUCCAUGGAUUGCUAAGACUUUAUAUUUUCAAUUUUGAUGGACUGUAAUUUUGUAAAACUCUAUAAUUUCGGUAUAUUAAAAUAUCGUAUUAAUUUU